rnacentral:rRNA from 1 species
AUUGAACGCUGGCGGCAUGCUUUACACAUGCAAGUCGAACGGUAACAGGUCUUCGGAUGCUGACGAGUGGCGAACGGGUGAGUAAUACAUCGGAACGUGCCUAGUAGUGGGGGAUAACUACUCGAAAGAGUAGCUAAUACCGCAUGAGAUCUACGGAUGAAAGCAGGGGACCUUCGGGCCUUGUGCUACUAGAGCGGCUGAUGGCAGAUUAGGUAGUUGGCGGGGUAAAGGCUUACCAAGCCUGCGAUCUGUAGCUGGUCUGAGAGGACGACUAGCCACACUGGGACUGAGACACGGCCCAGACUCCUACGGGAGGCAGCUGUGGGGAAUUUUGGACAAUGGGCGAAAGCCUGAUCCAGCAAUGCCGCGUGCAGGAUGAAGGCCCUCGGGUUGUAAACUGCUUUUGUACGGAACGAAAAGCCCGGGGCUAAUAUCCCCGGGUCAUGACGGUACCGUAAGAAUAAGCACCGGCUAACUACGUGCCAGCAGCCGCCGUAA